CCUACGGGUGGCAGCAGUGGGGAAUAUUGGACAAUGGGGGCAACCCUGAUCCAGCCAUGCCGCGUGUGUGAAGAAGGCCCUCGGGUUGUAAAGCACUUUCAGUGAGGAAGAACGCCUGGUGGUUAAUACCCAUCAGGAAAGACAUCACUCACAGAAGAAGCACCGGCUAACUCCGUGCCAGCAGCCGCGGUAAUACGGAGGGUGCGAGCGUUAAUCGGAAUUACUGGGCGUAAAGCGCGCGUAGGUGGCUUGAUAAGCCGGUUGUGAAAGCCCCGGGCUCAACCUGGGAACGGCAUCCGGAACUGUCAAGCUAGAGUGCAGGAGAGGAAGGUAGAAUUCACGGUGUAGCGGUGAAAUGCGUAGAGAUCGGGAGGAAUACCAGUGGCGAAGGCGGCCUUCUGGACUGACACUGACACUGAGGUGCGAAAGCGUGGGUAGCAAACAGGAUUAGAUACCCGAGUAGUC
rnacentral:rRNA from 1 species